rnacentral:rRNA from 1 species
CAUGCAGUCGAACGAUGAACCGCUUUCGGGCGGGGAUUAGUGGCGAACGGGUGAGUAACACGUGGGCAAUCUGCCCUGCACUCUGGGACAAGCCCUGGAAACGGGGUCUAAUACCGGAUAUGACUGUCCAUCGCAUGGUGGAUGGUGUAAAGCUCCGGCGGUGCAGGAUGAGCCCGCGGCCUAUCAGCUUGUUGGUGAGGUAGUGGCUCACCAAGGCGACGACGGGUAGCCGGCCUGAGAGGGCGACCGGCCACACUGGGACUGAGACACGGCCCAGACUCCUACGGGAGGCAGCAGUGGGGAAUAUUGCACAAUGGGCGAAAGCCUGAUGCAGCGACGCCGCGUGAGGGAUGACGGCCUUCGGGUUGUAAACCUCUUUCAGCAGGGAAGAAGCGAAAGUGACGGUACCUGCAGAAGAAGCGCCGGCUAACUACGUGCCAGCAGCCGG